CUACGGGCCGCUGCAGUGAGGAAUAUUGCACAGUGGGGGGAACCCUGAUGCAGCAACGCCGCGUGGAGGAUGACGCAUUUCGGUGUGUAAACUCCUUUUAUAUGUCAAGAAAAUGACGGUAGCAUAUGAAUAAGCGCCGGCUAACUCCGUGCCAGCAGCCGCGGUAAUACGGAGGGCGCAAGCGUUACUCGGAAUCACUGGGCGUAAAGGACGCGUAGGCGGGUUGAAAAGUCAGGUGUGAAAGCCUACAGCUUAACUGUAGAACUGCACUUGAAACUCUCAAUCUAGAGUAUGGGAGGGGCAGAUGGAAUUAGUGGUGUAGGGGUAAAAUCCGUAGAUAUCACUAGGAAUACCUAAAGCGAAGGCGAUCUGCUGGAACAUUACUGACGCUAAGGCGUGAAAGCGUGGGGAGCAAACAGGAUUAGAUACCCCCGUAGUC
rnacentral:rRNA from 1 species